rnacentral:rRNA from 1 species
GACGAACGCUGGCGGCGUGCCUAAUACAUGCAAGUCGAACGCAGGGGGGACGGGUGAGUAACACGUGGGUAACCUACCAUCAGAGGGGAUAACACUUGGAAACAGGUGCUAAACCGAUACUGAUGGAUGGACCCGCGGUGCAUUAGCUAGUUGGUGAGGUAACGGCUAACCAAGGCCACGAUGCAUACCCGACCUGACAGGGUGAUCGGCCCAACUGGGACUGAGACACCGCCAAGACUCCUACGGGAGGUAGCAGGAGGGAAUCUUCGGGAAUGGCCGAAAGUCUGACCGAGCAACGCCGCGUGAUUGAAGAAGGUUUUCGGAUCGUAAAACUCUGUUGUUAGAGAAGCGGUAUCUAACCAGAAAGCCACGGCUAACUACGUGCCAGCCGCCGCGGUAAUAC